rnacentral:lncRNA from 1 species
UGUAUAAUAAGAUUACACUUAUUUUAAAUUUACUUAUGCUUGGAAGUGUGCUGUCGACCUUGAGCCAAAAUCUCUUUUAGUUAAUAUACCUUAGCCAUCUUCUAGCUAGCUGAUCUGAAAUAUCAAUUUAGAAUUUAAAUUCUGUGAGUUCAACUUUUAAGAUUUUCAUUAAACUCAUUAUAUUUUUAAAGUUAAGGAUUUUGUAUAUAUUACUUUUGAAAUUUUAAUCAAUUUUUACAUAUAAAAUCUGGCUUUAUCCUUAUUCUUUCCGCGAUAAAAAAACAUUAGAUCUUAUUACGUGGUAGGAAGAGAUCGAUGGUCUGAGUAUGUUUCACAUGCUUUGAUCAUAUUAAUCUGGUACAGCGAAUUCCCUUGUGAGCUAUCACCAAAUGCUCCAGACUCUCUUUAUCUGAUUCCCUC